rfam:Ixodes scapularis strain Wikel colony gcontig_1108379752844, whole genome shotgun sequence.
GCAGCCGUGGCCGAGUGGUUAAAGCGAUGCACUAGAAAUCCAUUGGGGUCUCCCCGCACAGGCGCGAAUCCAGUCGACUGCG